rnacentral:rRNA from 1 species
UUAUUUAAUGGCCGCGGUAAUUUGACCGUGCAAAGGUAGCAUAAUCAUUAGUCUAUUAAUUGUGGACUUGUAUGAAUGGUUGGACGAAAUAUUAACUGUCUCAUGAAUUAUUUUUAGAAUUUAAAGUUUGAGUUAAAAUGCUUAAAUUUUAUUAUUGGACGAGAAGACCCUAUAGAUCUUUAUUUUUUUUAUAAAAAAUUAAGUUUUGUUUGUUUAUCAAUUUAUUAUAAAUUUAUUUUGUUGGGGUGACAUAAGGGUAAUUAAAGUAACUCCUUAUAUAUGAUUACAUUUAUUUAUGAUAUAUUGACCUUUUAUUAUUGUUGUAAGAUUUAGAUACCUUAGGGAUAACAGCGUAAUUCUUUUUGAGAGUUCAUAUCGACAAGAGAGAUUGCGACCUCGAUGUUGGAUUAAGAUUAUAAUUGGGUGUAGGUGCUUAAUAUUUAGGUCUGUUCGACCUUUAAAAUCUUACAUGAUCUGAGUUCAUACCGGAGA